UACGUAGGGUGCAAGCGUUGUCCGGAAUUAUUGGGCGUAAAGGGCUCGUAGGCGGUUUGUCGCGUCGGGAGUGAAAUCCACUGGCUUAACUGGUGGCUUGCUUUCGAUACGGGCAGACUGGAGGUAUGCAGGGGAGAACGGAAUUCCUGGUGUAGCGGUGAAAUGCGCAGAUAUCAGGAAGAACACCCGUGGCGAAGGCGGCUCUCUGGGACGGUACUGACGCUGAGACGCGAAAGCGUGGGGAGCGAACAGG
rnacentral:rRNA from 1 species